AGUGGCUUGAAUUUGUACAUGUGAUGCUUUCAACCUUCUGCCUAGAAACUUGACUUCUGGUAGGCUGAAAAAUCCCACUUACCAUCUAUCUGUAAGCAAAGCUGACAGUAACAAAAAUGUGACAGCGUCUAUCUUGUAGUCCAAGGAGAAAGAUCAAAGAUCUCCAUGAGAGAGUCCCCACAAGCAGCAAGUUUCUGGAGGCAGCACAGAUGUGUGGCUUUUCAUGCAAGAGACCUGUGUGUAUGGAAUGGAAGAGGAAUCUGCCCGACAGAUGCCAAAGCAGACUCACCUGAGCCAAUCCAGCUGGAUCAUGACUUUGAUUGGAUCAAUGAGCCACUUCACAAUCCACAGUCUGGUGGAUUCCAUUAUGAAGUAAUCCAAGGGUUGGUGCCUCUUCCCAUUUUUUUCCCCUUUAACACUUCAGAAUAGUGGAUCCAGCUGCCCACUACAUGACGCAGGCUGCCAUACAGUUCCUCUUGGGAGUGAUGGAACAUCAUCAAGUCCCAUCUGUCCCGAGACGGGGGGAUUCCUCUGUGUGCAUUGAAAGCACAUAGUGGCAAGGAGCCCCACACACUAGCUGCUGAGGCAGUGGGCUGGAUACACUACUUCUGAAGGGGAAAAAUUAGGGGUGUGUGGGACGGAGGCAGCACACAACCCUCAGACUACUCCCUAAGUACUUUGAAAUGUGUGUUUCCAGGAGGAUUUUUUGAGCUUUUCUAUUAAAAUUCCGCCUGGAAACAGGACAAGACAGACUUAGUUCCCUCUUAGAACUUUAAUGGGUUCCUCCAUCCCUCUUUAUUGUUGGUGUGUGUGGGGGUUGUUGUUAAAUUGCUUUGAGUGGUUUCAUAGGAAGUGAUUCAUAAAUGUAAUUAAUUAAUGCUGGAACAAAGAGAUGAGCGGGGCCCUUCUGAUAGUCCUUCUGGAGACAGGAUUCAAAUUCAUGCUGGAUCCUGACCUAGGGUUGCCACCUUUUAACCUGACAAAUUAUGAACACUCCAGCCAUUCUCAGGAGCACAGGGCAAAAUGACAACACAUAGGGGCCCAGUGUAGCUGUAGGUAUUUAGUUUCAUCUUUUUAUUUUAAUUGUUGGGGGUAAAGCCGUUAAAGUAUAAUGGUCAUUGAAGCCUACAAUAUUGAGUACGACAAACUUUUGUCAAAUGGUGGUACAGGAGACCAAAGUGUAGAAGAAACAAACUUAGCACCGGGCAACUCUUAUUAUUGCCUCAAAGUGGCUAUUACCCUGGGUUUUAAUUCUCUGCUGGUCAUCUUGGGACUACUUCCCCCUCCUUUGCUCUCACUUUCAUUACAGUGUCCCUUAUUAGCUAUUGUAGCAAUCCGAUUUCAUACUGAGGUGAUCAAACAGCUUUAAAUGCUGUUGUUCCUUGCUGCAUGCAGCAGCCUUUUGAAGAUGAUUAUGACACACAGUUCGGCCUUAACCAAAAAUAUGAACAUGCUCCAUCCAUAAUACAUUUCCAGGUUAUUAUAAACAAACCUCCCCCAGAUAUGAAGAUCUUCUAAAAAAUUAUGAACGGGGAGCUCAUAAUUCAGCCUGGACAAAAUGAAGGAAUUAUAGGUGAUCAAUUUCAGCAAAAAAAAAGCCGUUUAAAACAGCAAUAGGCCAGAGCCAGUCAUUUGCUGAUUUCCAGUUUCUGGGUCAAGGGUAUCCUCUGGUCUGCUCAGCAGGGGACAUUAUGGCUGCUUGCUCUUGACCCCCAGGUCUUUGCCCUUCUGACCUGAGUCAGGUCUGACAUUUUAUAGUCAAUUUCAUGUUCUGCCAAAGUGGAGUGCAGCUGCAAUGAAGUGGACUGCUACCACACUUUAGCUUUACUUCACCUUUAAAAGUGUUUUUUCUCCCAAGUCAGCUGUAAGCAAGGAUGACUCCCCUCAACUCUCUCUCGCUCUCUCUCUGGCAAAGAUGAAUAAUUUGAUGGCUCUGAAAUUCAUGGACUUGAAGUGCAAUUAAUAUCAGAAUGUUUGGAAAGCAUACACACAGCUAUUACUCUACUCUAAAGGAAAGGGUUGUGGAAAUGCAGGUUCCAGAAGUCAUUUCCUUGUUUCUCCUUGUCUCACCGGGGCGGGGGUUUCGAGGGGGAGAGGCUAAUUAUAAAUUUUCCCAAACUGAAAGUUGUGAAAAGAUACUGGACAUAAUAUGCUCACAGGAAAAAAGAAUAUCUGGCAGUGGUUGGUUUUUGUUUUUCCCUAAUACCCAUUAAAAGCCUCUCACAGUAAACCGGUUUACAGCAAUGCUAGAAAUGGAGUUAACGUUUUUAUUUAAUGAAUGG